rnacentral:lncRNA from 10 species
AAGCAGUGCCUAUGUUGGUGUAGGGGGUGGGGCUAGGGGUAAUUUUCCUCCAUCUGCCUGCCUGUCUCAGCUGGAAAUCUCCAUCAUCAGUCAGUGGACUGAUGGAUCAUGGCACUAAAACUCCUCAGUAGAAGGCAGCUGCAUUAUCUAAGCGGGGGAACAUGUUAAACAGCUUGAUGCAGAUGAGCAGGUAACCAUGGAAGUCGUGAGCUGAGGCUGCAGAGUCUAGAGCCAGAGUGUGGAAUAAACUUGGGUCUCAAAUCACCCCUGGAGCAAAGCACCCAUCUAAUCAGGAACUUCUACUUUCAACUUUACAUGCGUGAGAAAUGAACUUCUAUCAUGUUAGAGAAAUCCUUACACGGCGCCCUUGAGAGCUUUCAUACUGCAAGUCAUCCAUUUUCCUCCCCUCAAACCUGGCAUCGGAGUUUAUUGAAACAAAGCAAAAUAAAACAAAUAGACAAAGCUCUACCUCCAUCACUUCUGCAGUCUACAUUAACCCCACGUCCAGAAUAUUCACACCUCAGGUCUUUUUCUCACAAUUGAAACACUGGUUCAGAGCCUAACGGAAGGUCUUGGAGGUAAAAACACAACUUGGGGCAACUUUUCCAUUCUGUUCUGCAUGACCCCAAUGGGACUUCUCAGAAACCCCUCUCAUGAAUUAAACUUUGUUCUGUCUAGAGCAUUAGAAUAAGCUUAUGGGCACCUGCCAGGAGAUUAUAAAGUGGGCCAUUUAAAAGAUGACAGAUAUUGAGCACCCUUGACCCUGUAGAAAGAGUGUACCUACUUGCUUUCCCUAGGGCCCUUAAUGGUUUAUAAAAACAAGCACUCACUGAUUCAAAAAAUAUCCUCAUUCCACAGUCUUGCCAUGCCUUCUUUCUGAGCACAUGGCAGUCAGUCUCUAGCACAUCCAGUGUAAGAUAGAACAGAGAUCCCAGGCCACCCUGUGGGAAGGGGUAGAGAAAUGCAAUACAUUUCACAGGAAGUAGAAACCUAGAAAGACCACACAAAAAAACCCCUGCUUUAUGGCAAAGCCAAAGAAUAUUUGUGAAGAUUCCCCGUAAACCAUUAAAUCUGACACAAGUGUCAGAGUAGGAUCACUGUUAACACUUGUUUUUACUAACAAUAAGUGCGUUGUUGCUGACCCUGGCAGAGGAGAACAGAGAGUUCUCGGCAGGGCUUCCAAUACAGAAAACACCUGCCAGGGUGUCUCUGGGUUCCCUCACCCUGGCCAGUCUCUCCAGCUUGCCCACAUCCCUGCCCCAGAGUGGGAACUGUCCCUACUUGCCCGUCUGUAUUCCUGGGCGUCGUUCACUCGGUUGAGUCUCAGCACAUAGCCAUCCUUUCUGUCUUUG